UACAGAGGGUGCGAGCGUUGUUCGGAAUUAUUGGGCGUAAAGGGCGCGUAGGCGGUGCCACAAGUCACUUGUGAAAUCCCCGGGCUUAACUCGGGGCCUGCAGGCGAAACUGUGGUGCUGGAGUGUGGGAGAGGUGCGUGGAAUUCCCGGUGUAGCGGUGAAAUGCGCAGAUAUCAGGAAGAACACCCGUGGCUAAGGCGGCUCUCUAGUACGGUACUGACGCUGAGACGCGAAAGCGUGGGGAGCGAGCAGG
rnacentral:rRNA from 1 species